UACGGAGGGGGCAAGCGUUGUUCGGAAUUACUGGGCGUAAAGGGCGCGUAGGCGGAAUGUCAAGUUAGGGGUGAAAGGCCUGGGCUCAACCUAGGAAGGCCUCUAAAACUGAUAAUCUAGAGUCCGGAAGAGGAUGGCGGAAUUCCCAGUGUAGAGGUGAAAUUCGUAGAUAUUGGGAAGAACACCGGUGGCGAAGGCGG
rnacentral:rRNA from 1 species